UCAGCAGCCGCGGUAAUACGUAGGGUGCGAGCGUUAAUCGGAAUUACUGGGCGUAAAGCGUGCGCAGGCGGUUUGUUAAGACAGUUGUGAAAUCCCCGGGCUCAACCUGGGAACUGCAAUUGUGACUGGCAGGCUAGAGUUUGGCAGAGGGGGGUGGAAUUCCUGGUGUAGCAGUGAAAUGCGUAGAUAUCAGGAGGAACACCGAUGGCGAAGGCAGCCCCCUGGGCCAUGACUGACGCUCAUGCACGAAAGCGUGGGGAGCAAACAGGAUUAGAUACCCUGGUAGUCCACGCCCUAAACGAUGUCUACUAGUUGUUGGGUCUUCAUUGACUUAAUAACGAAGCUAACGCGUGAAGUAAACCGCCUGGGGAGUACGGCCGCAAGGUUAAAACUCAAAGGAAUUGACG
rnacentral:rRNA from 1 species